GCAGAAGUAAGAAGCGCGUAAACCGAUCAUAGCUUGCUCUUCUAGUUAUGAAAAUCAUGAAUGAACAUUAUAAGAGCAAGAAAGGCGUCUACUGGAGAUAAUGCUUCAUUUAGAAAGCCAAACUGUGGACCACCUGUUGUGGGGUAAAAGCCACAAAGCCGUAUGUACAGGUGAAGAUUGACAGUAAGGCAACUGUUGAUGUAGAGACUGGAGUGCGACGUUGGACUUUUUUAGGUAAACACUUAUUUAUUGUACGUGAAACGGUUUUCCAGCGAUGACUUUAGAGUUGCAAUUACUUAACGGCAAAUCUCGGCUUUCAAUCCAAGCUUCCAUAAUGGUGAGAAUCCAAUUAUGGGAAUGAUCCUUGUUUCCUAGAACAUCAUGUUGAUUAAAGGUUGAAUAAUGACUCCUGGAGGGUGGCAAAAAGUUGUUUAAAACCCAUCCAUUGCAUGCCGAUCCCUAAUACGAGUUCAGUCAAAUUACUUAGUAUGGCUAGCAAUCAGAAAAUGCCACUAUUAGUGCAGAUUUUGUGUGGAGUUUAAAAUAGAAAUCUAAAUACAAACUCCUCCUUGAUCCUAGGCAUUUUUCAGAAAACGUCAAAUAUAGUCAAAAGGAAAAUAAGAAAUUAUAUUUUGCCUAAAGAAAACAAAGCUUAUUUAAAGAAUUUAGAUUUCUUUUAUUUUGUUCAAUUAAUGUUCAUGAUGUUAUUUUUAGCAUAAAGCAAACUGCUUUUCAUUUAUGCUUAUUUUACAUUUUAUUUAUUAUUACUUUAAUUAAAAAAAAAUACCUUAUUGUAAUUACAGUCAUUUACUGGUAAUGAUUAUAACAACAGAAAACUCAAAAGCAAAAUAUACUGAUGGAAUACGGUAAAGGCAAUUUGAACUUAAAAUGUGUUUCACUGUUAUGAAAAUGACAUGCAAAACAAAAGCAGUGCUUCAUUUUCUUUAUGUAAAAUAUGGUUUCUUAUUUAUUGCUUUUGAUUUUAGAAGUGAAAUAUGACCUGGACAUGUUAUGCCUUAACCCACACAGAAUCUGCAAAUUUCACAUUUUUGGUUGUGCAUUUUUCGUAAUUGUGGCCAAAGAAAAUAAGUUGAAUUUUGUGGAAUGGUUUUAUUUUUUACAAAAUAUGUCAAACUGACCUGAACAAACACACCAGGGUACAAGCUUUGUAAAUAAUGAGUGAAUUUUGCAGAAAUCUGUGGGCAGUGAUUUCAUGCUGGCCUAUCAGUGCCCGAACAUCUUUAACAGAGUAUCCAUAUUCUCUAGAAAAGAUGAUUAAUCACAGUCAAUCUUCCUGCCAAAUGACGCCAUAAUUAAACUCACACCUGCUAAAAUCAGAGAUCACAUCUCCUUCUUGUAAUCUCAUCUGAUAACCUCCACCUUGAACUCGUUUCUGAACCACAAAUUACUUCAGUCCAAAGAUGACACGAGGCACUGAUCUCCUGUAUGAGUGUAAUUGGGAUGAUGUCUGCCAACAACUGCGUGGUGGACUCCAACCAACAGGCAUAUUCUAAACUUAUUGCUCAAAACACUCUUUAUAACCAGUUUGUUGCAGAAUCGAAGACUGGAGAGCUUGUUUUACACACUUCAGCUUGCUGCUAUCAGUGCACGUGAAAUAAGUUUAUGUUAGACUUGAGCAAUCUUGUUCUGUUUUCGAUGAAAUCUGGAAAUUAGCUAAGUAGGCCUAGAUUUUCCUUGGUCUUUUGUUGUUUUUGUAACAUUCCCAUUAAAGAGUCAUUGACCAAAUCCAAAAAUCAUCGAAAAAAAUCUGAUUGGUUGACAGUAAUGUUCCUACAGAACAAGCGAGCAUGUUGAUGAAAGAAAAUGUUCUACUUGGCUAUAUCAAGUUUAGCUAAAUUUCAACAAGCAUGAGAAGCUUAUACCCAGCUAACAAUGAAUGUUUUCAGAACUUUGGCUAAUGUUUGGCAAGAUUAAUUUAAAGUUAUGAACAAAUGUUCUUCCAGUCCAUUAAUAAUAAUAGAAUAUUCAUUCAGAGUUAUUUAGUCUUUAAUAAUGUUUUCAAAAUGUUAGCAUAAAAACAUUAUUUCUACAUUUUUCAUGGAA